GUGUCAGCAGCCGCGGUAAGACGGAGGAGGCGAGCGUUAUCCGGAUUUACUGGGCGUCAAGGGCGCGUAGGCGGCCUAGCAGGUCGUGGGUGAAAGCCCCAGGCUCAACCUGGGGAGGUCCUGCGAUACCACUAGGCUUGAGGAUCGUAGAGGGGGGCGGAAUGUCCGGUGGAGCGGUGGAAUGCGUAGAUAUCGGACGGAACACCCGAGGCGAAGGCGGCCCCCUGGGCGACACCUGACGCUGAGGCGCGAAAGCGUGGGGAGCAAAGCGGAUUAGAUACCCUUGUAGUCC
rnacentral:rRNA from 1 species